rnacentral:rRNA from 1 species
AUGUACAAAAAGUACAUUGCCGAGUUGGACACGAUUACGCCUGAGCAGGUGGAAUGGCAGCCAUAUGGCGCCGAUGACAGACUUGGGUACACCCCGGAGUUUUCCAUCAACCCGAUGUGCUUGCGGGAUAGGGAUCUCUGGCUUAUGCGGUGCCCACUGAUAUGCAACUGGGCUGUUGAGUUUCAUUUGCCACAUUGCGUGUUUCGUCAGUUUGGUCUGUUCCAGCCUCACCCGCCGGAAUGGGUGGAUACGGACAAAGCACUUCAUAGGUUGGACAGGAGAAGGCAGCGGAAGAUAAAGGACUGGGACAAGCAUCAUGCUUCGUAUGUUACCCGCUUCCAGCUUUGCAUGGAGCAAGCUCGUAGUAGUGCACGCGCCCAGCUUCGUGAGCAUAACCCACUUGCUUUUGAUAACUACAUACGAUGA